CCUACGGGGGGCUGCAGUGGGGAAUAUUGCACAAUGGGGGAAACCCUGAUGCAGCGACGCCGCGUGAGUGAAGAAGUAUUUCGGUUCGUAAAGCCCUAUCAUCAGGGAAGAAAAUGACGGUACCUGACUAAGAAGCCCCGGCUAACUCCGUGCCAGCAGCCGCGGUAAUACGUAGGGGGCAAGCGUUAUCCGGAUUUACUGGGCGUAAAGGGUGCGUAGACGGCAGCGCAAGUCUGGAGUGAAAUCCCAUGGCUUAACCAUGGAACUGCUUUGGAAACUGUGCAGCUAGAGUGGGGGAGAGGUAAGCGGAAUUCCUGGUGUAGCGGUGAAAUGCGUAGAUAUCAGGAGGAACACCAGUGGCGAAGGCGGCUUACUGGACUGUAACUGACGUUGAGGCUCGAAAGCGUGGGGAGCAAACAGGAUUAGAUACCCUUGUAGUC
rnacentral:rRNA from 1 species